UACGGGGGAGCAAGCGUUGUUCGGAUUUACUGGGCGUAAAGGGCGCGUAGGCGGCCACUGCAAGUCGGUUGUGAAAUCUCCGGGCUUAACCCGGAAAGGUCAAUCGAUACUGCAGGGCUAGAGUGCGGAAGGGGCAACUGGAAUUCUCGGUGUAGCGGUGAAAUGCGCAGAUAUCAGGAGGAACACCUAUUGCGAAGGCAGCUCGCUGGGACGUGACUGACGCUGAGACGCGAAAGCGUGGGGAGCAAACAGG
rnacentral:rRNA from 1 species